rnacentral:rRNA from 1 species
CCUACGGGUGGCAGCAGUGAGGAAUAUUGGUCAAUGGCCGGAAGGCUGAACCAGCCAAGUCGCGUGAGGGAAUAAGGCCCUAUGGGUCGUAAACCUCUUUUGUCAGGGAGCAAAGGCGUCCACGUGUGGACGAGUGGAGAGUACCUGCAGAAAAAGCAUCGGCUAACUCCGUGCCAGCAGCCGCGGUAAUACGGAGGAUGCGAGCGUUAGCCGGAUUUAUUGGGUUUAAAGGGUGCGUAGGCGGAGUGUCCAGUCAGCGGUAAAAUUUGGGGGCUAAACCCCGACGUGCCGUUGAGACUGACGGCCUUGAGUGCGUGAGAAGUAGGCGGAAUGCGUGGUGUAGCGGUGAAAUGCAUAGAUAUCACGCAGAACGCCGAUUGCGAAGGCAGCUUACCGGGGCUCAACUGACGCUGAGGCACGAAAGUGCGGGUAUCGAACAGGAUUAGAUACCCCUGUAGUC